rnacentral:rRNA from 1 species
GCAAGUCGAGGGGUAACAUAGGAGCUUGCCCUUGAUGACGACCGGCGCACGGGUGCGUAACGCGUAUGGAAUCUACCUUAUACUAGGGGAUAGCCUUUGGAAACGAAGAUUAAUACCCUAUAGUAAUUAUUUGUGGCAUCACAGAUAAUUUAAAGGUUACGGUAUAAGAUGACCAUGCGUCCUAUUAGUUUGUUGGUAAGGUAACGGCUUACCAAGACUACGAUAGGUAGGGGCCCUGAGAGGGGGAUC